rnacentral:rRNA from 1 species
GAGGAGCCCGCGGCCUAUCAGCUUGUUGGUGAGGUAACGGCUCACCAAGGCGUUGACGGGUAGCUGGUCUGAGAGGACGACCAGCCACACUGGGACUGAGACACGGCCCAGACACCUACGGGUGGCAGCAGUCGAGAAUUUUUGACAAUGGGGGAAACCCUGAUCGAGCGACGCCGCGUGGAGGAUGAAGGUCUUCGGGUUGUAAACUCCUGUCAUUUGGGAACAAGGCGCGGGUAUUAACUGUGCACGCGUUGAUAGUACCAGAAGAGGAAGAGACGGCUAACUCUGUGCCAGCAGCCGCGGUAAUACAGAGGUCUCAAGCGUUGUUCGGAUUCAUUGGGCGUAAAGGGUGUGUAGGUGGCGCGCUAAGUCGGGUGUGAAAUUUCGGAGCUUAACUCCGAAACUGCAUUCGAUACUGGCGUGCUUGAGGACUGGAGAGGAGACUGGAAUUUACGGUGUAGCAGUGAAAUGCGUAGAUAUCGUAAGG